ACACAUGAAGGGAGGUGCUCCGGAAGUGAUUUCUUUUCGGACUCGUGAGGUGACUGCGGGCUGACGCCCGUCGUCGCACUCUUUGCAGUGCAAGGCCGGUCGCCGGCCAAUCCCAAGCAGUCACCGACCCGCAGGCUCGCCGGUUAGUCCGGCCGGCCCCUCCGCAAGGAGGGUCCAGAGCCUGCGGGUUUCUGCGU
rnacentral:sRNA from 1 species